rnacentral:ncRNA from 2 species
AACUUAUCAAGAGAGAUACAAGGGAACGGCCCGUUUGAGUAUCCAGCAACCUGUAAAAACAAGGUGCUAAAUCCGGCAUUGAAUGCAAAGAUAAGAA